rnacentral:rRNA from 1 species
UUUGUGGUGUGGGAUGGGCCCGCGGCCUAUCAGCUUGUUGGUGGGGUAAUGGCCUACCAAGGCGACGACGGGUAGCCGGCCUGAGAGGGUGACCGGCCACACUGGGACUGAGAUACGGCCCAGACUCCUACGGGAGGCAGCAGUGGGGAAUAUUGCACAAUGGGCGCAAGCCUGAUGCAGCGACGCCGCGUGAGGGAUGACGGCCUUCGGGUUGUAAACCUCUUUCGCCAGGGACGAAGAGAGAUUGACGGUACCUGGAGAAGAAGGACCGGCCAACUACGUGCCAGCAGCCGCGGUAAUACGUAGGGUGCGAGCGUUGUCCGGAAUUACUGGGCGUAAAGAGCUCGUAGGUGGUUUGUCGCGUUGUUCGA